rnacentral:rRNA from 1 species
ACGGGUGGCGGACGGGUGAGUAAUGUCUGGGAAACUGCCCGAUGGAGGGGGAUAACUACUGGAAACGGUAGCUAAUACCGCAUAACGUCGCAAGACCAAAGAGGGGGACCUUAGGGCCUCUUGCCAUCGGAUGUGCCCAGAUGGGAUUAGCUAGUAGGUGGGGUAAAGGCUCACCUAGGCGACGAUCCCUAGCUGGUCUGAGAGGAUGACCAGCCACACUGGAACUGAGACACGGUCCAG